AACGAACGCUGGCGGCAUGCCUAACACAUGCAAGUCGAACGAGACCUUCGGGUCUAGUGGCGCACGGGUGCGUAACGCGUGGGAAUCUGCCCCUUGGUUCGGAAUAACAGCGAGAAAUUGCUGCUAAUACCGGAUAAUGACGUAAGUCCAAAGAUUUAUCGCCAAGGGAUGAGCCCGCGUAGGAUUAGCUAGUUGGUGUGGUAAAGGCGCACCAAGGCGACGAUCCUUAGCUGGUCUGAGAGGAUGAUCAGCCACACUGGGACUGAGACACGGCCCAGACUCCUACGGGAGGCAGCAGUGGGGAAUAUUGGACAAUGGGCGAAAGACCUGAUCCAGCAAUGCCGCGUGAGUGA
rnacentral:rRNA from 1 species